UACGUAGGUGGCGAGCGUUGUCCGGAUUUACUGGGCGUAAAGAGCGCGCAGGCGGUCGUUCAAGUCGCGUGUGAAAGCCCCCGGCUCAACUGGGGAGGGUCACGCGAUACUGAUCGACUCGAAGGCAGGAGAGGGAAGUGGAAUUCCCGGUGUAGUGGUGAAAUGCGUAGAUAUCGGGAGGAACACCAGUGGCGAAGGCGACUUCCUGGCCUGUUCUUGACGCUGAGGCGCGAAAGCUAGGGUAGCAAACGGG
rnacentral:rRNA from 1 species